rnacentral:rRNA from 1 species
UAGACUUCGAUCUUGGCUCAGGAAAGUCGUGACCCGGGAUCUGAAAGUCGUGACACGGUGACCCUACGUCGUAACAAGGUAACCCUAGAGUUUGAUCAUGGCUCAGGAAAGUUCUAACAAGGUAGCCGUAAGUCGUAACAAGGUAACCGUAAUUCACAACAAGGUUGCCGUAACUCGUAACAAGGUAACCGUAGAGUUUGAUCCUGGCUCAGCCUUUGACUUAAAAAAAUGGAGAAGUCGUAACAAGGUGACCGUACUUCGUAACACGGUAACCCUACAUUUUGAUCAUGGGUUAAGGAACUCGUAACACGGUGACCCUACAGUUUGAUACUCUGAAUUCACCUACCU